UUUGCAAAAGAACAUCGUAUCGUCCGCGAACAAGAGAUGGUUGACCGAAGGGCUGUGGCAAAACACUCGAACCCCCGCAAGAUGAGCGAAUUGGUUCUUCUCGAUCAAUUCCACUCUAAUCGAAGACACAGAUGUCACCUUGUUCAAAAUCGAAACUUAGAAACCCUAAUUUAACUUCUGUAACUUUGCCCACGCCGGAGAAGCUGCCUGGGAACAUUCUCACUUGAUCCAAAAACCGAUGUUAGCUCUAUCCGUGAAAGAUAUUCGUGAAGCCACUGGAUCUCGUCGCAUACUCUCCUUCGCCUCUCUCAAUCUCCUACAUACAUUACGGCAAAUUGGCUCCUCCGCCUUCCUAUGUCGCUCUUCACCACCACCACCUUUGCCUUCUUCUUCUUCUUCUUCUCGUCUUUUCAGUUCCACUGGAAGAGAUAAGAUGACUGAGCCCAUCUUAAAGGCUGCUAGGUAUUGAUUCAGUAGGAAUGGUGUAGAGCCUGAUAAUUGAAGAAGCUUCAAGGGUUGCGAGUGCCAGAGUACUGGAAUCCUCUGCUCCGGAGCAUCUCCACUGCCGGGUCUCGGCGUCUGGUUGAGAUUGUCAAGUCUGCGACUGUGGAUUCGGAUUACUCGUCGAGAAGGAGCAGUAGCUACGAGGAGAGGGAGACGAUUGUGCUUCCUGGAUGCGACUACAAUCACUGGCUGAUUGUAGAUAUUUGUGACGAUUUAUGGAGAGAUGCAGCGAUCCAAGCGAAGAAGUGAGCUUGGACUCCUUCCCAGUGUCGCUAGUUACUUCAAAGAACGGGCUAUUGAUGUAUUGACACCAGACUACGAGCCAUCAGAUUUGGAUAUACUAUAUGCAUGGAGGAGCUGAUGGAGACUAUUGGCAAAGUGCUUUUGCAAGUUUUGAAGUUAUGUAGUAGGUU